rnacentral:rRNA from 1 species
UUCCGGUUGAUCCCGCCGGACCCGACUGCUAUUUGGGUGAGGAUAAGCCAUGCGAGUUGAAUGGGAUACCUAAAGUUCCCAUGGCAAACUGCUCAGUAACACAUGAUCAACUUACCCUAUAGAGAAAAAUAACCUCGGGAAACUGAGGAUAAUGUUUCAUAGUUGAAUUGGCUUGGAAAAGUUUUUCGACGAAAGGGGUAAAAAAAAUGGUUUUUAUCUGCUAUAGGAUAGGAUCGUGUUCGAUUAUGGUUGUUGGUGAGGUAAUGGCUCACCAAGCCGAUAAUCGAUAGGGGCCGUGAGAGCGGGAGCCCCGAGAUGGGUACUGAGACAACGACCCAGGCCUUACGAGGCGCAGCAGGCGCGAAACCUCCGCAAUACACGAAAGUGUGACGGGGUUACCCAAAGUGUUCAUUAGAACUGUGGUAGGUGAGUAAUGUUCCCUACUAGAAAGGAGAGGGCAAGGCUGGUGCCAGCCGCCGCGGUAAAACCAGCUCUUCAAGUGGUCGGGAUAAUUAUUGGGCUUAAAGUGUCCGUAGCCGGUUUAGUAAGUUCCUGGUAAAAUCGGGUAGCUUAACUAUCUAUAUGCUAGGAAUACUACUAUACUAGAGGGCGGGAGAGGUCUGAGGUACUACAGGGGUAGGGGUGAAAUCUUAUAAUCCUUGUUGGACCACCAGUGGCGAAGGCGUCAGACUGGAACGCGCCUGACGGUGAGGGACGAAAGCCAGGGGAGCGAACCGGAUUAGAUACCCGGGUAGUCCUGGCCGUAAACGAUGCAUACUAGGUGAUGGCACGGCCAUGAGCCGUGUCAGUGCCGUAGGGAAACCGUUAAGUGUGCCGCCUGGGAAGUACGGUCGCAAGGCUAAAACUUAAAGGAAUUGGCGGGGGAGCACCACAAGGGUGAAGCCUGCGGUUCAAUUGGAUUCAACGCCGGGAAUCACUAGUGCGGCCGC